rnacentral:rRNA from 1 species
CCUACGGGAGGCAGCAGUGAGGAAUAUUGGUCAAUGGGCGCUAGCCUGAACCAGCCAAGUAGCGUGAAGGAUGACUGCCCUAUGGGUUGUAAACUUCUUUUAUAUGGGAAUAAAGUGCAGUAUGUAUACUGCUUUGCAUGUACCUUAUGAAUAAGGAUCGGCUAACUCCGUGCCAGCAGCCGCGGUAAUACGGAGGAUCCGAGCGUUAUCCGGAUUUAUUGGGUUUAAAGGGAGCGUAGGUGGGUUGUUAAGUCAGUUGUGAAAGUUUGCGGCUCAACCGUAAAAUUGCAGUUGAUACUGGCAGCCUUGAGUACAGUAGAGGUAGGCGGAAUUCGUGGUGUAGCGGUGAAAUGCUUAGAUAUCACGAAGAACUCCGAUUGCGAAGGCAGCCUGCUGGACUGUAACUGACGCUGAUGCUCGAAAGUGUGGGUAUCAAACAGGAUUAGAUACCCCGGUAGUC